GCCCAGCCAGUAGGGUGGAUAAGACACUCGGCUUGUAACCGAGCGGAAUCGGGUUCGAAUCCCGAGCAAGGCA